rnacentral:rRNA from 1 species
GACGAACGCUGGCGGCGUGCUUAACACAUGCAAGUCGAGCGGUAAGGCCCUUUCGGGGGUACACGAGCGGCGAACGGGUGAGUAACACGUGGGUGACCUGCCCUCAGCUCUGGGAUAAGCCUGGGAAACUGGGUCUAAUACUGGAUAUGACUCCACGGUGCAUGUCGUGGGGUGGAAAGCCUUGUGCGGCUGAGGAUGGGCCCGCGGCCUAUCAGCUUGUUGGUGGGGUGANGGCCUACCAAGGCGACGACGGGUAGCCGGCCUGAGAGGGCGACCGGCCACACUGGGACUGAGACACGGCCCAGACUCCUACGGGAGGCAGCAGUGGGGAAUAUUGGACAAUGGGCNCAAGCCUGAUCCAGCGAUGCCGCGUGUGUGAAGAAGGCCUGCGGGUUGAAAGCACUUUCAGUAGGAAGAAAACCCGAGUGCUAAUAUCACUCGGUCUUGACGUUACUUAC